rnacentral:rRNA from 1 species
GACGAACGCUGGCGGCGUGCCUAAUACAUGCAAGUCGAGCGAAUCUUGAGGUGCUUGCACCUCUUGGUUAGCGGCGGACGGGUGAGUAACACGUGGGCAACCUGCCUGUAAGACUGGGAUAACUUCGGGAAACCGGAGCUAAUACCGGAUAAUCCUUUUCCUCUCAUGAGGAAAAGCUGAAAGUCGGUUUACGCUGACACUUACAGAUGGGCCCGCGGCGCAUUAGCUAGUUGGUGAGGUAACGGCUCACCAAGGCGACGAUGCGUAGCCGACCUGGGGGGUGGAGCGGCCACACUGGGACUGAGACACGGCCCAGACUCCUACGGGAGGCAGCAGUAGGGAAUCUUCCGCAAUGGACGAAAGUCUGACGGAGCAACGCCGCGUGAGCGAUGAAGGCCUUCGGGUCGUAAAGCUCUGUUGUUAGGGAAGAACAAGUACCGGAGUAACUGCCGGUACCUUGACGGUACCUAACCAGAAAGCCACGGCUAACUACGUGCCAGCAGCCGCGGUAAAAC